ACUCCACUCCUUCGUGAAAACUGACACAAACAUUACCUUUGAACUGCAGGGAGUUGUUGAUUCGUAUUGUCACCGUUCCGCUGAUGGACUCCCCCGGACUGUAAACCACCUUGUUGUUGGCGAAAGUGAUGUCAAAUUGUUGAAGUUUGCCCAUGACGGCGCUCCGCUACUCCGCUACUCGCCUUGGGGACGCGAUGCUUGGCUCACCUGCUGCUGGGAGUAUCAGGGGGGUCAUACGGGUGUCGACCAUAUCGAUACGACGAGUCGCACUGGGUCGAUACGCGUAUUUUGCAUCCCAUACCCUCGGCUGUCAAUCUUCCUGGAAGGGGGGCCUGACAUCGAUGUUUCCAUGACAACAAACAAACAUAAUGGUUGCCAGAGUGAUUCGUAUAAAAAAAGGAUGGACGGAUGCCAAAUCAGGUGCGUGCAACACCAAAUAUGGACGACUAGCAACAAAUAAGGCAAGAA